AUCCCUGGAGGUGUUCAAGGAACAAUCAGUGCCCUGGUCUGGGUGACAAGGUGGGGAUCAGUCAAAGGCUGGACAUGAUGAUCUGGGAUGUCUUUUCCAAUCUAAAUGAGUCUGUGAUUCCUGUGGCUUCUUUAGCAUGGGACAUCCAAGGGAAGAAAGCUGCUGUGCUGGUGGUCAGAGUUUCAGAGCUCCUUUUUCUCUCUGUGCAGACAGAAUGAUGAUGGUGUCUGGCCUUGCUGAGCAGGGCUCUGAGUCAGGCCAAUCCCCCUCACUCCUCUGCUGCCAUCACUCACCAGCAAUCCAGCCUUUAAAGCGAUGCUCAUGUUCCAGAGACACUAAAUUUAGCAGCUGUUUGCUAAGAGGUGUUUAAAAUUAGCAGCAAAGGCCACCCUGAGCAUGUGACAAGGAGAGGUGGUGUCACCACGGAGCUCUGUGAUCCUCCACGCUGCUCUCCCUUCAAGACCUGUGGCAUGUUUGUUCCAAGAGCUCAGUGAUGAAGCUUGGUGGAAGGAAGAUGAGGGUGCUGGGAAGCUUGAAGAGGUGAAGCUGAAUGUGGUGAGAAUGGUGUGAUACAUCCAGCUGGAGCAAUGCCUUCAGGUUUCUCCAUGGUUAUUGAAAAUUUUGUGCCUGGGAUUCAGAGAGAGUUGGUCAAGAACCACAUACAUAGAUCUAUUUCUAAUCCAGGGAUCCAGAAAAUAUCAUGAAAACUUGGCAGAACCUGAAUUCAGUAGGAAUCAUUCCUGCUCUCCACCACUGUGCUGAAAAUCGCAGCAAAGCAUAUAAGGAGGAUUUAUGUACAGACCUAUAUAUAUUUACAUGUGCAUUGAAAAGAAAUAAAAUAUUGGUUCGGGUUGAUUGAUUUGCAA